UACGUAGGGUCCGAGCGUUGUCCGGAAUUAUUGGGCGUAAAGGGCUCGUAGGCGGUCCGUCACGUCGGGAGUGAAAACUCAGGGCUCAACCCUGAGCGUGCUUCCGAUACGGGCGGACUAGAGGUAUGCAGGGGAGAACGGAAUUCCUGGUGUAGCGGUGAAAUGCGCAGAUAUCAGGAGGAACACCAAUUGCGAAGGCAGCUCGCUGGGACGUUACUGACGCUGAGACGCGAAAGCGUGGGGAGCAAACAGG
rnacentral:rRNA from 1 species